GGCUGCGUGUUUGAUUGUUGAUUGUUCUCUCUUCACAGGUUCGUCAUUGUUGGUUGAUGUUCCGAGGGACAAGAAUAUAACAGGGUAAUUGACCUUUCCUGCCACUGUUACAACUUCAUAAGUUUUCCAUACCAUCAGGUGCGUACCCUUGCCUAUCCAAGAAAAGGUUUUUUUAGCACAAAAACUUUGUAUGCCUAYUUUGAGUGGAGCACGUCACUACUGAUUCGUGUUUUAAUGUGUUAUCCACUUGAUCAAUAUGACAUGUGCACCUUGCUUUAUAAGAUGGGAAACAAAUGAUGAUGAUGAUUAAGCUUCUAAGCCUCAAGGAACAAAAUAAAAGUUCUGGUAAGUGAUGAUGAGUAGAAUCAAAUAGCUGAAGUUUUGCUAUUUUCUUUGUGUAACUUUUGCAUUGUGGGGAUUGUUGAGAUGAUAUAAUAAAGGUAAUUAUCGACACGCAAAGAGAUCUUCACCUCUAUUUCAUAUUGAACUAACAAACAUUUAGCUCUAGUUCUAUCAUUGUUUAUUGCUCUAGAGAAAUGAUGACACCAUCUACUCUAAUGUUUAAUUCAAUAAACUUAUAGACAGAUCCUAUAGUCCUUGUUUGAAUUGAAUUGUUUAUUACAAUGAGGAAUUUUUGUMAUUGGUUCUUCACCAUGCCAAUUUGGCAUGGAUUUUAUUCAUGUUAUGCCAAUUUGGCUGUUAAUGCAGAUAUCCCAAUUUGGCUGUGGGGACACAAGACUCURGGUGAUCUGAACUUGUCUAGCCCCCUCUCGAUUUUUAGGCGCAAACUGGCCCAUCUAUCCUCUGUUGGAGGGGGUUAUGUUUUAGUCUCACACCCACUAGGCUUUGACUCUUUUUCUGCACCAUAUGUUGGAAUCAUCACACUUCASGUGUGAUGAAUGAUGAAAAAGUUGCUCAUUAUAAGACGUUGCUGGUUAAAGGUGCCCAAGAGUCAUCUUCAUAUCCUCGAGUAUUUAUUCAAUUUCCUGGAGAUAGCAAUGCUUCGUAAGUGUAUAACGCAGUUCGUAUUUAUAGGAUCUGACAAGGAUGGGYGUUUGUUACAGUCCAAACGAAUUCUAUAGUAAUUUGCUAGAUGGUGUCAAAUGUUACUAGUGAAAUUGAACUGUUUGCUCCAACUGUAUGUACUUAUUCUGCCUCUUUUCUCUUGAUUUAUAAAGUUAUUGGUUAAAAAGUGGCAUGACGAAGUUUGAAUUGCUGGAAAGAGAUAACAUAUAUGAUUAAAUUCAUAUAAAAAAGGUAGCUUGAUUAUAUUGUUUAUCUUAGGAUGGACGUUGGCUUCUAAUUUUUUUUUCACCAAUUUUUCAGUGUGCACUGCUUGCCUCGGCUUCUUUACGAAGGAUCUGUGCACCCCAAAGUCCUAAAUGAUGCAAAUUCUUCGGGGAAAUUAUCUUCAUUUUUUUUUAAAUUCCAAUACAACCUCCUUGUUUGGCUUACUAAUUUUUAUCUUAUGUACUACACACGGAGGCACUAGCAUGUUUCUUCAGGUAUGAUGUCAUUAAACCAUUAGCCUACCUCUAUGACCAUAAUGAAUUUUAAUCGUUAGUUGUAAUGUUUUCUUUUUCUAAUUUAUGAAGCACUUACAAAUUGAAGUUGUCUUUUUUUCCUUGGAUAGAUGGGGCUACACUUUCGUUCUUCAAACAUAAUCUGUUUGGGUUAUCUUUGGAGGACGGAAGUUUUUGACCAUGUUUUGUUGUGAGGCAGGGAUAUCCAAGUUAUUGUUUGAAGCGAUAAUUCAAGUUGUGGAUAUCUUCUUCCAUAAGUUCCAUGAAGCAACAAAUCUGGUAUAGUUGUAUCAUACAUGUUUUCUCAAAAGAAACCACCACCGAGGUAUUCUUAUUGGUAAUUCGUUAUGAGUAUGAGUUUUACGUAUAGUUACUGUCUUUAUCAUCAGGAUGGGCUUUGCCUAUGAUGGUUUACAUCAAUGUGUUUUGUAUUGGUUAGAAAUGAUAUAUGAUUUAUGUAGAAAUGAAAUAUCAGCCCGGAUGCUGGAACUUCGACAUGCAUAGCUUAGAUUUUACCUGAUGAUUCUAAAGGAUUUACUAAUUUCCAAUUGUGAUGUUGUUACUAAUAAUUUUUAAAGUAUCU